rnacentral:lncRNA from 1 species
UGAGCUGCAACAUCAGAUUCUGGUUUUUCUCCGCAGUGACUUUCCAUUUCCUGUGAAAGCACUGUACGGACUGGAAGAAUACGACACUCAGGAUGGGAUUGCCAUAAACCUCCUGCCGCUGCUGUUUUCUCAGGACUUUGCAAAAGAUGGGGGUCCGGUGACCUCACAGGAAUCAGGCCAAAAAUUGGUGUCUCCGCUGUGCCUGGCUCCGUAUUUCCGGUUACUGAGACUUUGUGUGGAGAGACAGCAUAACGGAAACUUGGAGGAGAUUGAUGGUCUACUAGAUUGUCCUAUAUUCCUAACUGACCUGGAGCCUGGAGAGAAGUUGGAGUCCAUGUCUGCUAAAGAGCGUUCAUUCAUGUGUUCUCUCAUAUUUCUUACUCUCAACUGGUUCCGAGAGAUUGUAAAUGCCUUCUGCCAGGAAACAUCACCUGAGAUGAAGGGGAAGGUGCUCACUCGGUUAAAGCACAUUGUAGAAUUGCAAAUAAUCCUGGAAAAGUACUUGGCAGUCACCCCAGACUAUGUCCCUCCUCUUGGAAACUUUGAUGUGGAAACUUUAGAUAUAACACCUCAUACUGUUACUGCUAUUUCAGCAAAAAUCAG